GAUGAACGCUGGCGGCGUGCUUCAUACAUGCAAGUCGAACGGAGGUUGUAGCAAUACUUCCUCAGUGGCGAACGGGUGAGUAAUACGUUGGUGACCUGCCCCGAAGUUGGGGAUAACAGUCCGAAAGGAUUGCUAAUACAGAAUGUGGUCGAAGGGAUUAGAUGCCCUUUGACUAAAGGCGAAAGUCGCUUCGGGAGGGGCCUGCGUCCCAUCAGCUAGUUGGUAAGGUAACGGCUUACCAAGGCGAUGACGGGUAGGGGACCUGAGAGGGUGGCCCCCCACAAUGGAACUGAAACACGGUCCAUACACCUACGGGUGGCAG
rnacentral:rRNA from 1 species